AAUAAAUCAUCAAUUAUUGACAUUUGAAUCUCAUUGUCUACCUUUCAUUCUAAUUAUCAUUCUACUUUGCUGAGUUUCACCUGAUUAAAUUUCAAGGUCACAUUUACUUUAUACAUUACAGUAAACUUUAAAAUUACAAUGUAAUUAUUUUCAAACUUCAAAUAAUUUAAUUUUGGAUGUAACGCGUCUUCUGAUUGGCUGACGUUAUUUUAUUAUGAGCCCAUAGACAUAAUUUAGUCAUGUGACCGUGACGUCAUCAACGUUUUUUCAUGGUUUUCUACGGUUUAAAAUGGAAUUUAGGAUUAAAUUAUAAGAAAUGACUGUAAUAUUUUUUCUGUCUAUUCGAAAUAACAUAAAAAAUGUGGUGCACACUGUUAAAUAACCUGCUACGCGCGUUAUUCAGUGUGCACCAAAUUUUUAAUGUUAUUUCUUCAUAGACAGAAAAAGUAUUAGUCAUUCCUUAAAUAAAUUUUUAUUUUGUAUAUAUAUUUUAACCACUUCACUUUAAUACAUUGUUAAAUUCUGUUCUUACCCAUUUGGAUCAGUAUAUCACACACCAGUUUGUCUUCAGAUUUAAACUGAGUGUGCUAGUAUUGUAACAACUAUUGGGCUUCCAUAGCUAGCACACAAAUCACAGAGAGGGUCACAACAGGAGAUUUUGGGUACAGUUGUGUGGCUUGGAUUUUAAAAAACCACCCCCAUUCAUAUAUUGUAUAAUUUUGAAAUCGCAACCUACACAAAUAGUUUACAGCGAAAUCAUAACCCAUUCCUAUAUGAUCGAUUUGUUACACAAUAAG
rnacentral:lncRNA from 1 species